AGAACGAACGCUGGCGGCAUGCCUAAUACAUGCAGGUCGAACGAACUCUUCGGAGUUAGUGGCGAACGGGUGAGUAACACGUGAGUAACCUGCCCUUGACUCUGGAAUAAGCGUUGGAAACGACGUCUAAUACCGGAUACGAGCUUCCGCCGCAUGGUGAGGAGCUGGAAAGAAUUUCGGUCAAGGAUGGACUCGCGGCCUAUCAGGUAGUUGGUGAGGUAAUGGCUCACCAAGCCUACGACGGGUAGCCGGCCUGAGACGGGUGACCGGCCAACGA
rnacentral:rRNA from 1 species